UUUAAUUAAUUUAUUUGAGAUCAUUUUAUGCUUUGUUUACAUUUUUAUAAUUUAUUUCUUACAUGUAUUUAUUGAAAGUCACAGGAUAUAUGUGUCUAGCGUGAGUGAGCGCUGAUGCACGGAGCUGAGUGGAGAGUGAUAUCCCGGAUUGUGUGUGACGCCCGUGUUGUUUUGUCUCCUUUGGAAAGAAUAAACCUCUAGUACUCGACUCCUGUGUGUGCCUCACUGGAAGAUACAAGACACAACGCAGAAAGACAUUGGUUACAAAUGGUGCCGUGACCCGGAUUCUUCAGAUCAGCCGCUGCAGAUCGCCGAGGUUAUGCUGUGAGCAAAGUGGAGAGUGAUAUCCCGGAUUGUGUGUGACGCCCGUGUUGUUUUGUCUCCUUUGGAAAGUCACAGGAUAUAUGUGUCUAGCGUGAGUGAGCGCUGAUGCACGGAGCUGAGUGGAGAGUGAUAUCCCGGAUUGUGUGUGACGCCCGUGUUGUUUUGUCUCCUUUGGAAAGAAUAAACCUCUAGUACUCGACUCCUGUGUGUGCCUCACUGGAAGAUACAAGACACAACGCAGAAAGACAUUGGUUACAAAUAUAGGCAAUAUAUAUAAUUAGGCAAUAUAUAUAUAAAUAUAUUUAGCAUUUGUGGUUUUGGCAUAAACAUAACCAGGGUGCACUGUACUAUCUGCGCACACCCUUUCUGAAGCCUCUCUCGCUCUCUCUCUCUGUCCCACCCCCUCUCUCUUUCUCUCUCUCGUAGCGUUUUGUGG
rnacentral:lncRNA from 1 species